GGGUUGUGAGGUUAAGCGACUAAGCGUACACGGUGGAUGCCCUGGCAGUCAGAGGCGAUGAAGGGCGUGCUAAUCUGCGAUAAGCGCCGGUAAGGUGAUAUGAACCGUUAUAACCGGCGAUACCCGAAUGGGGAAACCCAGUGUGAUUCGUCACACUAUCAUUAACUGAAUCCAUAGGUUAAUGAGGCGAACCGGGGGAACUGAAACAUCUAAGUACCCCGAGGAAAAGAAAUCAACCGAGAUUCCCCCAGUAGCGGCGAGCGAACGGGGAGGAGCCCAGAGCCUGAAUCAGCAUGUGUGUUAGUGGAAGCGUCUGGAAAGGCGCGCGAUACAGGGUGACAGCCCCGUACACAAAAGCGCAUGUGCUGUGAGCUCGAUGAGUAGGGCGGGACACGUGGUAUCCUGUCUGAAUAUGGGGGGACCAUCCUCCAAGGCUAAAUACUCCUGACUGACCGAUAGUGAACCAGUACCGUGAGGGAAAGGCGAAAAGAACCCCGGCGAGGGGAGUGAAAAAGAACCUGAAACCGUGUACGUACAAGCAGUGGGAGCCCCACCACCAAAGCAUUCUCUGGUGUUGAAGGCCCUGCAAAGCAGCAUCGCGGUGGCGGAGCGUCGUUUGCGACGCCCAACACACAAAACAAGCGGUGAGUGCUUUGGGGUGGGGUGACUGCGUACCUUUUGUAUAAUGGGUCAGCGACUUAUAUUCUGUAGCAAGGUUAACCGUAUAGGGGAGCCGGAGGGAAACCGAGUCUUAACCGGGCGUUAAGUUGCAGGGUAUAGACCCGAAACCCGGUGAUCUAGCCAUGGGCAGGUUGAAGGUUGGGUAACACUAACUGGAGGACCGAACCGACUAAUGUUGAAAAAUUAGCGGAUGACCUGUGGCUGGGGGUGAAAGGCCAAUCAAACCGGGAGAUAGCUGGUUCUCCCCGAAAGCUAUUUAGGUAGCGCCUCGUGAAUUCAUCUCCGGGGGUAGAGCACUGUUUCGGCUAGGGGGCCAUCCCGGCUUACCAACCCGAUGCAAACUGCGAAUACCGGAGAAUGUUAUCACGGGAGACACACGGCGGGUGCUAACGUCCGUCGUGAAGAGGGAAACAACCCAGACCGCCAGCUAAGGUCCCAAAGUCAUGGUUAAGUGGGAAACGAUGUGGGAAGGCCCAGACAGCCAGGAUGUUGGCUUAGAAGCAGCCAUCAUUUAAAGAAAGCGUAAUAGCUCACUGGUCGAGUCGGCCUGCGCGGAAGAUGUAACGGGGCUAAACCAUGCACCGAAGCUGCGGCAGCGAACGUAUCACCCAAGACAACUUUACGGAGUUGACGAUUGACGGAGCGAAGCGACGUCAAAGCGUUCAUUAAAGUCGAGUUGGCUUAGGGAUACGUUCGUUGGGUAGGGGAGCGUUCUGUAAGCCUGUGAAGGUGGCCUGUGAGGGUUGCUGGAGGUAUCAGAAGUGCGAAUGCUGACAUAAGUAACGAUAAAGCGGGUGAAAAGCCCGCUCGCCGGAAGACCAAGGGUUCCUGUCCAACGUUAAUCGGGGCAGGGUGAGUCGACCCCUAAGGCGAGGCCGAAAGGCGUAGUCGAUGGGAAACGGGUUAAUAUUCCCGUACUUGGUGUUACUGCGAAGGGGGGACGGAGAAGGCUAUGUUGGCCGGGCGACGGUUGUCCCGGUUUAAGCGUGUAGGUGUGUGUUCCAGGUAAAUCCGGUUCACUUUAACACUGAGGCGUGAUGACGAGGCACUACGGUGCUGAAGCAACAAAUGCCCUGCUUCCAGGAAAAGCCUCUAAGCAUCAGGUAACAUCAAAUCGUACCCCAAACCGACACAGGUGGUCAGGUAGAGAAUACCAAGGCGCUUGAGAGAACUCGGGUGAAGGAACUAGGCAAAAUGGUGCCGUAACUUCGGGAGAAGGCACGCUGACACGUAGGUGAAGUGAUUUACUCAUGGAGCUGAAGUCAGUCGAAGAUACCAGCUGGCUGCAACUGUUUAUUAAAAACACAGCACUGUGCAAACACGAAAGUGGACGUAUACGGUGUGACGCCUGCCCGGUGCCGGAAGGUUAAUUGAUGGGG
rnacentral:rRNA from 1 species